rnacentral:rRNA from 1 species
GUCCAUGCCGUAAACGUUGGGCACUAGGUGUGGGGGACAUUCCACGUUCUCCGCGCCGUAGCUAACGCAUUAAGUGCCCCGCCUGGGGAGUACGGCCGCAAGGCUAAAACUCAAAGGAAUUGACGGGGGCCCGCACAAGCGGCGGAGCAUGCGGAUUAAUUCGAUGCAACGCGAAGAACCUUACCAAGGCUUGACAUGCACCGGACGGCCGCAGAAAUGUGGCUUUCUUCGGACUGGUGCACAGGUGGUGCAUGGUUGUCGU